rnacentral:sRNA from 1 species
UUUUACGUAUGGAGCUGACACGGCUACAGGCCAAGGUCAAGUUGAAAGUUGUCGUCUGGCCGCGAG